GCCUUCGUGGUAUAGUGGUCAGCACGCUCGGCGCGUAUUCGAGAGGUCCUUAGUUCGAGUCCCGGCGAGGGCA
rnacentral:tRNA from 1 species